rnacentral:lncRNA from 1 species
UCAAAUUGAUGAAAAUUAUGAGUAAAAUAUUAAUGAAAAAAUGUUUUAUAAAUAUUAAUAUGCAUUUUCUCGGAUCGAGUAUAAAUCAGUCAAAAAUCAAUAACAAAGUCUUCGAUUUGUACAAAAUUUGAUUGGGUCCCCUAACUAAAAAUUUCUGCGUCCACCCUUGCCAAAUAUUGAGAAAACCCUCCCAGUACAAUUGCAGCCUCCAAAUAAAUAAAUUUCACCUUACGACCUACAAGAAUGACGGUUUAUGAGUCAGUUCUUGGAUAUGGAAGCAAUUAGCCGUAGCUUUGUGGUAUGGGAUGGAAAAAAAUAUGAUAGUUAUGGGUGUCUUCCAAGUUCCAAGUAAAAUAUUCGAGUGCACAACCCUUGGCUUUGAAAAAUUAAUUAUAGCAUACGAAAUGGAUUAAGUUACCAAAUCUCAAGGUUCUUCAUCCGCAUUUUAAGAAAAUAUAAAUAAUUAGCAAUCAGGAGAUUUAUGGGAUUUUGUUCCUUAUAUCUCCUGAAAAGAAGAACUAGUAAUACUUUAAGGGACUUCGUGGGGAAAUUUUGCAUCAUAAUUCUUUCUUUUGUCGAUUCUGUGGUAAGUAAAUUUUUGCCUGAGGAGAUAUGCCUCAAAUCUCAUGCAGACAAGGGAAGUGCACUCAAUUUGUCUUUGGCAAUGUAAUCAAUCUGUCAUCUUGUUCAUUCACAAUCGUUGUGUGCUUACCUUUCAGAUUCCAUGCCACAGCUAAAACAGUGACAAUCACAAUUGCAAGAACAAGAACCAAAAAGAUGAUAAUGAGAUGAUGUGAGAAGUUGUAAAUGAAACGGAAAUUUCAAUCCAAUGAAACAGAACUGCCAACAGAACAUAUACCUAGGCGCUAUCUUGAUACAAGAUGGAUGAAGUUCAAGAAGUUGCUCAUUUCUGCAUUCAAGAACUUGCACAAUCAGUAAAGAAGAUGAUGACGAUAGUUAUAAAGCACAAAGCAUAGCCAGAAAAUAAGACCUCCGCACCAACAUGAUCUCAAAUUAGUGAACUAUAUCUUGUCCUAUCCAAUAAUGCAUGAACGAACUGGAAAAUAGUCUGUGUAAGUGCCCUUUAAUUCUAAACGUGACUUGCAAAACAAAUUUAAAACUGAAAUCACAUAAAAAUUAGUUGGCUCCAACCAAGAGACUUGGAACGCAGCUAUAAACAUGUCAACAUGCAAUCUCGUGCGAAGUCUAGAUGCUACAAAAAAUGACAAAGCCCUUCCAUUAGCUGAUUUGCCUUGAACCUUUACUAGGUCGGAAUUAUAAAGCUUACCUUAUUCAUUAUAUUAAAAUGGAAACAGGCCUUUUCAGCUUGCAACAUGCUCAUAAUUAAAUUAUAGUGUAGCAGACCAUUUGACUCUUUUGUUAUUCAUGCUCGCAUUGCUUCGCUAUAAUACAUGCAUAUCCUCUUGCAAUUCACAGAUAUACAUAACAAUAACCAGCAUGGUAGAUCAUGUGCAUAGUUGUGAUAAGGACAAGUCAAAUAUAUAAAACUUUCCAGGUGUAAGAAAGCCUACCACAUGGAUUUUAUAUAUUUGGUCCAAUUUCAUUAACCUUUCAACACAAAUGUCGUAAUAGAAAAAAAAUCCAAGAACAGAGUAAACAGAAGAGAACAUCUCGAUGAAGUGUGCGACAUGACUUGCACAGACCUUUCGAAGAUGUGCAAUUGGCACGAACUGAACUGAAACUGCAAAAUGCAUGCACACAUCAACUAAGUAUAACUAGUGAAAGUUGAAAAUGAAAUCAAACAAUUUCUCAAAUCUCACCUGAUUAUAAUUUUUGUUUACUGAUAGAUAGUGACAAAAUUUAAAAACCAAAUGGCAGGACUAGUCUCUUUCUCACCUUUGUUUUGACCUUUUCAAUUUUUGCCAAUAUCUUGUUUCAAUCAAUUCCGACUUCAAAAAGCGCAUUAUAGGCCUCUCAAUAUAUGAAUUGCUACCAACUUAGUAGACCACAGAUAAUUUUUCCUCCACAAAUACUAUACCAGAAAAGAUUUGCUUCUGUGUCAUUAUUUUCAUUUCGUCCUCACCUAGGCAUCUAAGUUGAAUGAGUUCAUUGUACCUAUAUUAGAACUCUAUGAAAUUCUACUGUAACUUAAAAAUCUAAAACCGCAAUAUUUAGCUAUAUUCAGGAAAAAUUAAUGUACAUCAUUGGCCCAUGUAGCAGAAUUUUUUCAUGCCCAGCCCAACUCAAGAAACUCAUCAUCAUAGCCUACGGAGAGGACAGAAAAGGCAAAAGCAGAAUUGUUAGGAAUCCAAUCACAGAGCAUGUUUGGCUUAAGCUUAACUAACCUUACUUUAUAAGCCAUUCUUUCUGCCGGAAAACACAGUCACAUACUGGGAAAUGAUUUCAAUUAACAACUGCUGGCAUAAAAAGGGUUGUUGAUCUGUUCUUUGUGAAAUCAAUGGCCAAAAGAGAGAACAGCCACCCUUCAGAAAUAUGCUAUCCCACCUUUGCCUUAUUCUUGAGUUUGAAUUUUAGCAAGCAAGACUUGGAUCCAUUUGGCAUGACUUUCGAAAAGUCAAACCUUACUUUUAAGAACAAAAACUGCUUUUGGACUCUUAUGGUUAAUUUCAUAAAAGUGCUUCUAGUUGGAAAAACUUUUAGAGAAAACUAACCUAACGUGACUUCCUCUUAAAGCUAUCCGAAAAGAAGGGGGCCCGGGGGGGGGGGGGGGGGGGGGGGGGGGGGAUCUUUUGGAAAUUAGUUUUUAGGCACUAAUUAAAGUAGCUUUCUCAAGAACAUCAAGAAGCAAAAGCCAUGCUAAACGAAUCCUAAAGCGUGUUUGGAAAAGCUUAUAAAGUUCACUUUAGGCUCAGAUUUGAAAAUAGAAGCAAAGAGAAUGAGACACGGCCAUGGUUGCAAAAGCCCAGUUGCAUGUGAAAGAAAAAUAGAGAACACCGUCAACCUCCCUCCUCACAGAGCCAUUAAGGUUCGCCCUGCCAAGAUACCGGUCCUGUUUUCCCAUGCUCGACCCAACUAAAAGAAAAUAUUCCUCACAGCCUCCACGUGUUAACUAAAUUAAUGUUCAGUAACCCAGUUAAGAUUACGCUGAAAGUUCAGUGACUGCUGAUGAUAUAUACUCUUUUUUCCAAUUAUACUAGUUACGCACAUAGAACAAAUACAGAUACAGGAAGCAUAAAAGAGCUGUUGAUUUUUAUGAAUGGUCAUUGGCUAAAACGAGAGGGGCAACCACCCUUUAGAAAUUCCCAUCUCUGUUUCGCCUCUGAGUUGGGACUUUUGAAGGAAAAUCUGCUCAACAGAGACCUCAAUUUAUACUGAGGGCUGAGAGAAGACAAGCCCAAUAGAUCUAAAGCAUGAUUUUACACAAAUAAAUCUGAUAUUACCAUUCCAAGUUUAGUGAUGAAGAUUAUGACUUAUCCUGUAGAAAUCCUGCAACACUAACAUUGGUGCCAAGGCAGUGAUGAAGAUGUCUCCCUUUUGAGUGCAAUACCAGGGAAGAAAACCAUUAGCUGCUUGUCACCCUUCCAUAGCUAUAUGCUCUAAUGGAUGACACCACGAAAAUUUGGCUUUUAAUUGGGCUAUACAUGGCUUAUUAGCAAAACACCAAAAUCUUACAUUUGCUUAUAAGCCAUUCUUUCUGCUGGCAAGUAAGUCACAAACUAAGAAAUAAUAUAGUUAAUUGCUGUCGAAAAAAGAGGUUGUUGACAUGUUAAUUUUAUGAGACCAUUGGCAAAAAGGGAGGGCAACCACCCUUACGAAAUAUCCUCUCUCUCUGUUGUCUCAUUCUUGAGUUUGGGAUUUUUUCCAAAUUGCAAGGAAGACUUGGGGAAUGAUUGGGAAAACUUAAAGAGUUAAUUUAUAAAUGUAAGGCUCAGAUUUGAAAAUACAAGCAAAGAGAGUGAGACACUGCCAUGGCUGCAAAAGCCCAGCUGCAUAUGCAAGUGAAAGAGAGAACGUGAUCAAUCUCCCUCCUUGCAACGCCACCAAGGUUUCCAUUUCUCGAUGACCAACCCAACUCAAAGAAAAUAAUCCUCAAAGCCUAGAUUAGCAUCAGCAGGAAUUCCCAGAAUGAAACUUUACUUAAAAUUCAGCGACUCAGUUGAGAUUGAGCUGAAAAUUCAGUGACCACUGAUAAAAUUUACUCUUUUCUCCAAUUACAUAUGCACAAGCAGUAACGAAGAGGAAACAGAAAAAUAUACUGGAAGCAUAAAAAAGGUGAUGUUGAUUUUUAUGCAAACAGUGAAAUCAUUGGCAAAAAGAGAGGGGGCAACCACACUUUAGAAUUCCCAUCUCUCUGUUUCGCCUCCUAAGUUGGGACUUUUGAAGGAAACCUUAGUUGCUGCUUAACAAAGACCCCAAUUUAUGCUGAGGUGUGACCAUUUUUACACAAAUAAAAUCUGAAGAGAUAGAAUAUGAGAAACUUAGAUUGAGGUUGUGUAGAAAUUAAAUCAUUCACAACAAUCAAAUCGAGUGCAAAAAGCCCUUUUAUACACAAAAAAACCAUGAUACUACCUUCCAAGGUUGGUGAUGAAGAAGUUGAGUAGAAUCACUGCAACAUAAGAUAAAUUGGUGGUAAGGGGAUGAUGAAAACGUCUCCGUUUCCCCCUCUCCUUCACAUUAAAUUGUUGCCAAUUUUUAAAGCAAUACCAAGGAAGAAAACCAUUAAGCCGCUCGUCCCCUCUAUAGCUCUAUGCACUUAUGGAUGACACCCAACAAGAUUUGGCUUUCAGUUGAAACAUACAUGGCUUAUGAGCAAGGCCCACAAAAUAGGCUUCUAUCCCCUGGGGCUUUAAUUUCUACUCACAGUUAUAUUCAUUGUUUCUUACCUUCUUUAAAACAUUGAAAAUUGAGUUUAAAAUGUGUGCAUUACUUAACCCCUUAAUUUGUCAUUUAUUCUGCUAAUUAUCAGAAGCAUAAAAAAUACUACACAAGAAUGAACAUCAUUCGAUGAUAAAAAAAUUUCAAAAAUUCUCUCAAUGUAUUUUCAAAUCUUUGGUUACUUUAAUUUUAUUUUAUUUUUUUAUGGUGCCCAUUACCGAAAAAAUUCAACUAUUCAUAGCUAAGGAUCACUAUAUCGAGCUUAAUAAAACCAGAGGCUCAGAUCUGCAAAAUAUCAGGCAGCGAGAUUCCGUACCCACCAUGGCUGCAAAACCCAGUUGCAAAACCUGCCCUGCAGUUCUGCCUUGCCAAGAUAUGAGUCAAAUUUCCCAUGCCCGACCCAACUCAAGAAACUUAUCAUCACAGCCCACCAAGGGGAAAGAAAAGCAACAACAGAAUUAUUAGGGUUUCGACUAAAGUGCGGGCUUGGCUAAGCUUAAAAGUAGAUCUUGGUUUUACUUAUAAGACCCAACUCAAGAAACUUAUCAUCACAGCCCACCAAGGGGAAAGAAAAGCAACAACAGAAUUAUUAGGGUUUCGACUAAAGUGCGGGCUUGGCUAAGCUUAAAAGUAGAUCUUGGUUUUACUUAUAAGCCGUUCUUUGUGCCAGCUAACAGGGUCACAUACUGAGAAAUGAUUCAAAGCAUGUUAGGGAGUUGUUUAUAAUCGGUUUAAAUUAUAAAUAUAUACAAAUGAAUGGUGGAUAACAAGCAUUCAGCUAACUGCUGGAAAGAAAAGGUUGUUGAUAUGCUGAUUUUGUGAAAUUAUUAGCAAAAACAGAGGGCAAACACCCCUUAGAAAUAUCCCAUUCCUUUUUUUGCCUCAUUCUUGAGUUGGGAUUUUUGCAAGAGUGACUGAGUGCAUGUUUGUAGAAGCUUAUAAAGUUUACUUACAAGUAAAAUAAGCAAGUGUAAAACCUGUGUUAGGCUCAGAUCUGAAAAUGCAAGAAGCAUGUAGAGCGAGACACCGCCAUGGCUGCAAAAGCCCAGUUGCAUAUGCAAGAGAAAAAGAGAACGCCGUCAAUCUCCCUCCUUACAAAGCCAUCAAGGUUCGCCGCGCCAAGAUACGGGUCUCAUUUCUCCAUGCCCAAACCAACUCAAAGAAAAUAAUCCUCACAGCCUACAGAUAAAAUUUGCUUAAAGUUCAGUGACCAAUUGAAAUUUCCCUUAAAGUUUAUUGACCGCGUAUGAAAUUUACUCUUUCCAUGAACAUACAGUAACGACGAGGAAACAGAUACAGUUACUGGUAGAUUAAAAGGGCUGUUGAUUUUUGUAGAUUGUGAAAUCAUUGGCAAAAAAGAGAGGGGCAACCACCCUUCAGAAAUUCCCAUCACUCUGAUUCGCCUCCUUCUUGAGUUGGGACUUCUGAAGGUUUCCGAAAACCCAGCCCACUUUAUGCUGGGGUUGAGGCAAUUUGGACAUUUCAA